rnacentral:rRNA from 1 species
GACAGAGGGUGCAAACGUUGUUCGGAAUUACUGGGCGUAAAGCGCGUGUAGGCGGCAUGGCAAGUCGGGUGUGAAAGCCCUGGGCUCAACCCAGGAAGUGCAUUCGAUACUGCCAAGCUAGAGUCCUGGAGAGGAUGGUGGAACUCUCGGUGUAGAGGUGAAAUUCGUAGAUAUCGAGAAGAACACCGGUGGCGAAGGCGGCCAUCUGGACGGUGACUGACGCUGAGACGCGAAAGCGUGGGGAGCAAACAGG